rnacentral:sRNA from 12 species
AGCCCGCUUUCCGAACUGUCACCGUAUGGUGCGCGUGCCCGUGAGGGCUAGGACUGCGGGCAUAUU